AUAUUAUUUAAAUGAAUGUGUAUGGAAACAUAAAAAAUAUAUUUUUCAAAGACCAUUUAAAACGAUGAAAACUAUUGCUAAAAAACGUAUUAAAAUAUAUGCAAGAAAAAAAAAAACAAAUAUUUUAAAAAAUAAUACAGUGAGUAAUGAUGAAUCGAUAAUAAUUGAUAAAAAUAAAAAUAAAAAUAUUGAUGCUGAAAAAAAAUAUGAAACAUUCGUAAUAGUAGAUGGUUCAUCGAUUUUAUUUAAGAAUUUUUUUGGUAUGCCUAAUUUAACAAAUCAUCACGAGAUAAAUAUAAGUACAAUGUAUGGUUUUAUUCAAUCAUUAAAUAAAAUUUAUAAAUUAUUUAAUCCUUCAUAUAUUUCUAUCGUUUUUGAUUCUAAAACAUCUAAUGAUAGAAAAAGGCAACUCUAUGCAAAGUAUAAAAUACAACGUAAAAAACAACCUGAUGAAUUAUAUGAACAAUUAACUAUAGCUAGUCAAUUUUGUGACAAUAUAGGUAUAAAAAUUAUUAAUGCCACAAAUGUAGAAAGUGACAAUUAUAUUGCCAUGUUAGUCGAUAAUAUAUAUAACACAAUACAAUAUGCAAAUAAACAAUCACAAAAUAGUAUUAUAAAGAAUGUACAAAAAAAUGUUUCAGAUAAAAGUUAUAAUGACCAAAUACAAGACAAAUAUCAACCAAUACGUACUAUCAUUGUUUCUAGUGAUAAAGACUUGUUACAGUUGUUAGAAUAUAGUGAUGAUGCUCAUAAUAAUAUGAACAUAUAUAUAUGUCAACCAAACAAAAAAUAUCGAUUAAUAGAUACUCAAUUAUUUAUGCAAGAAAAUGGUUUAUUACCAUGUCAGUACAGUGAUUAUUUAAUUUUAGCUGGAGAUAAAACAGAUGGUAUUAUAGGAGUACCAUCUAUUGGAGAAAAAACUAGUAUAUAUUUAUUAAAAAAAUUUGGAAGCUUAGAUUAUAUUUUAGAAAAUUUACAUCUUUUACCUAACAAAUUACAUGAUGUUAUAAUUAAUAAUAUUGAAAAUAUUCAAAUAUAUAAACAACUUAUAAAAUUAAAAUGUAAAACAAACGAAACUCUUGUCUUAAAUGAUUAUAAACAAGGAUAUAUUAAAAACUUUGAUGAUUUUCAAGACAUGUUAAACAAAUACUCUCUUCAUAAACUCUUAAACAAAAGUUUACUAAUAAGGCGCUAAAAAAUGUUAACUUUUAUUUGUAUGCGGAGAUUCGAAGAUUUUGGGGAUUUGGACAUGCAUGCGUGUAAUAUACUUACGUACGCACAGGUAGUUUUUAUUUGGGGUUACUCAUUCGUAUACAUAUAUACAUUAUACACAUAUACAUUAUACACAUAUACAUUAUACACAUNNNNNNNNNNCACAUAUACAUUAUACACAUAUACAUUAUACACAUAUACAUUAUACAUUAUACAUUAUACA
rnacentral:lncRNA from 1 species